rnacentral:lncRNA from 1 species
GCAUUUGAUUUUUUCAAGCUUUCAUGAGUAACAACCUCAACUGGAUCGUCUGCCCUCUUACCAGUCUUCAAAUCUUGAACAGGCCCAAAUUCUGAGUUUGUUUAGCGAGUCCUCAAGCUUCAGAAGUUCUCCGUUUCGUUGAACCCUUUCAGAUCGAGAUAACUCCAACAACGUUCGAAAUCUGCACAACCAUCUUUUACAGUAAAUCGAAAGGAGAUUGCGACUAUCACUCUUAAAGAUAUUGUUGAAUCUCGUUUAUAAUUUUAUGCUCCAGCUUUCGAAAGGGUGAAUAUUGUGUGAGUAUUCAAGAAGGGGAAUACAUUGAAUGGUUGUUUAAAGAACACUACAAUUAAGGAGAAUACAUGUGUAAAUGCAGUGGGAAAAGAAAAAAGAAUACUCCAAGAGGAAAUGAGGUUGUCUAUUAUGAAGUAUCAUACAAGAUGAUGGUUGAACGCGGCCAAGAUUGGAAGCGUGUUGAUUGUGGCCCCACCCAUGUGGAGUUCCUUGCCCUUCCUUUCUUGUCUCCAUCACUACAUUGCAACAGGAGAAAGAAGACCAGUGUCCCAUAGGGUGGCUAUUUGAUUCACAUGGGCGGUGGGAUAUUUGACCAGGUUUAGGGAUUUAGGGUUUGGUGUUUUCUAUUUAUUUUUUGGUUUUGGUUGUGGCUUCGUUUACUUUGUUUCUCAUGAACCAUUUUAACACUGGAGCACAACAACUUCAUCAUUCUAGAAGCACCUUCGAGUUGUGAAAUUGUUGAUUUGUGAGAUUGUGCCACUUCAUGCUGUCACCUCUGCUCAAUCCACUCAUGUGGUUGGUAAUGCUGAGGACAUUUAAAUUGCAUGUGGUUUCUUGUGAUUUCUCAGAAAAAUAUCAGUUUUUUUGUGUCGAUUCAAUUUCAAUUGAAAAUAUAAAUGUAUGAAAUUGAAAGACAACUUUUUAAUUUUUUUACAUAGGUAAUUGAAAAUAUAAAUGUAGAAAAUAACCAUCUUAAAAUAAUGAAAACUCUUUGCUUUUUUAU